UACAGAGGGGGCAAGCGUUGUUCGGAAUUACUGGGCGUAAAGGGCGCGUAGGUGGCCUUCUAAGUUGAACGUGAAAUCCCUGGGCUCAACCCAGGAACUGCGUCCAAGACUGGGAGGCUUGAAUCCGGGAGAGGGAUGCGGAAUUCCAGGUGUAGCGGUGAAAUGCGUAGAUAUCUGGAGGAACACCGGUGGCGAAGGCGGCAUCCUGGACCGGCAUUGACGCUGAGGCGCGAAAGCCAGGGGAGCAAACAGG
rnacentral:rRNA from 1 species